UGUUUGACGGUACCUUUAAAGGAAGCACCGGCUAACUCCGUGCCAGCAGCCGCGGUAAUACGGGGGGUGCAAGCGUUGUUCGGAAUUAUUGGGCGUAAAGCGCGUGUAGGCGGUCUGAUUAGUCUGAUGUGAAAGCCCUGGGCUCAACCCAGGAAGUGCAUUGAAUACUGUCAGACUUGAAUACGGGAGAGGGUAGUGGAAUUCCUAGUGUAGGAGUGAAAUCCGUAGAUAUUAGGAGGAACACCGGUGGCGAAGGCGGCUACCUGGACCGAUAUUGACGCUGAGACGCGAAAGCGUGGGUAGCAAACAGGAUUAGAUACCCUGGUAGUUCACGCCGUAAACGAUGAGAACUAGGUGUCGCGGGUA
rnacentral:rRNA from 1 species